rnacentral:rRNA from 1 species
UACGUAGGGUGCGAGCGUUGUCCGGAAUUAUUGGGCGUAAAGAGCCCGUAGGCGGUUUGUCGCGUCUGCCGUGAAAGUCCGGGGCUCAACUCCGGAUCUGCGGUGGGUACGGGCAGACUAGAGUGAUGUAGGGGAGACUGGAAUUCCUGGUGUAGCGGUGAAAUGCGCAGAUAUCAGGAGGAACACCGAUGGCGAAGGCAGGUCUCUGGGCAUUAACUGACGCUGAGGAGCGAAAGCAUGGGGAGCGAACAGG